rnacentral:rRNA from 1 species
UACGUAGGGGGCGAGCGUUGUCCGGAUUUAUUGGGCGUAAAGAGCGUGUAGGCGGCCAGGUAGGUCUGCUGUGAAAACUCGAGGCUCAACCUCGAGCUGUCGGCGGAAACCAUCUGGCUAGAGUCCGGGAGAGGAGAGUGGAAUUCCUGGUGUAGCGGUGAAAUGCGCAGAUAUCAGGAAGAACACCUAUGGCGAAGGCAGCUCUCUGGGACGGUACUGACGCUGAGACGCGAAAGCGUGGGGAGCGAACAGG